rnacentral:rRNA from 1 species
AACGAACACUGGCGGCAUGCCUAACACAUGCAAGUCGAACGCCCGUAGCAAUACGGGAGUGGCAGACGGGUGCAUAACACGUGGGAACCUACCCUAGGGUUCGGAAUAACCGCGGGAAACUGCGGCUAAUACCGGAUACGUCCUCUGGGAGAAAGAUUUAUCGCCCUUGGAGGGGCCCGCGUCGGAUUAGCUAGUUGGUGAGGUAACGGCUCACCAAGGCGACGAUCCGUAGCUGAUUUGAGAGGAUGAUCAGCCACACUGGAACUGAGACACGGUCCAGACUCCUACGGGAGGCAGCAGUGGGGAAUCUUGGGCAAUGGGCGCAAGCCUGCCCCAGCCAUGCCGCGUGUGCGAAGAAGGCCUUCGGGUUGUAAAGCUCUUUUACCCGGGAUGAUAAUGACAGUACCGGGAGAAUAAGCUCCGGCUAACUUCGUGCCAGCAGCCGCCGUAA